CGGCCGCACUCCUUCACGCACUCAUCAUUAGUUUAGGUGUGAGGCCGCCGCGUGUGUGGGCGGCGGAGGCUCCCACCUCCGUCCGUCCCCCUCGCCGUGGCCGAUGAUCGCACCGCCCGGACCGCGGCCACUCUGAAUCGGCGGCGAUGAGGAGGCCCGGCCCUUGGCGCAGACCCGUGCCCUCCGAGCUGCGGCCGCGUCAGAACUCCGCCUCGCGGGGCCAGCCAGCCCGCACCUCGCCACGCGUACGCCGCCGGCAUUGGAGGCCCGGCUCGAGGCAGCCGUCGGCGGCGGCGGAUUCGGCUGUGCUUGGGGCUCUAGGGACCGUGUUGCGGGAGGCUGGCGCGGCUUCCGUUCGUUUGGUUCCGGCGAGGCCAAGCCGUAGAUCUGAGCCGCCUCGCCAUGGAUUUAACAUCUUGCUUCCAUUUGGUGUGCCUCUCUCUGUCUCUGCCUCUUGUCUCUAUCUUUCGCUUCCCUUCUUAAGCUUAAUUAUCCUCGUGGCCUCUUUUGGCAAACGAGUGUGUGUCUGUGUGUGCAUGUGUGUUUAGUUCCAGAUUCCACCUCCAAGGGGGCCGCCUCAAGCGAGCAGUUGGGCGCUGGGAACCCUAGGAAGUGGGGACGGACCAGAGAUGCGAGGAAUCGAGUGGUUCCGUUACCACCACCUUUGCAUUCGCUGUGUGCAGAGGUCGGUUCUUCCAUCGUCUAAAUUUUUCCAAAAAACUCUACUCCCUCCGAUCCAUAUUAAGUGUCGCUGAUUUAGUACUCCAUCCGACCCAUAUUAAUUGUCUCAAAUUUGCCCAAAUAUGGAUGUAUCUCUGUUUAAAAAGCGUCUAGAUACACAGUAAUAUUUUGACAAGUUAAUUCGGACGGGAGGGAGUACAACCUGCUAGAGAUGCUCUAAGUAAACCACACCCCUUUGCAAAUUCUGGAGACUUGAGGGUGAUGGAUGGCUAUUUUGGCUGUUCAUUGUUGCUUUCCCGCGAAUCACUGCUGUCACUAUCAGUGGAGGAGCUUAAAAGAAUAUGACCCAUCGUCCCCUUCAUGGUCAAGUUGUUGUUGUUGUUGUUGCUGCUGCUGCUGUUACUGCUGCUCGAUCUCUUUGAUUGAGAAAUGGAAUCUUAUGAGGGGCAAUGAUGAUCAACCAUGGCUGAUAUAGGCAUGCCCUCGAGGCACCUGUGGGCAUCAAGUUGGUUCCUACCUUCUCUCUUUGAACCUUUUCGGACAUGUGCUAAUUUUGGUGGCUCUGUCCUUUGGAUGAUCAUUCCUGACGAGUGAUAACCAGGGCAGAUUCACUAAAGUAAGAACUGGUUAUUUGGUGAUAAGAUGAUGGGGAUACUGUUCUAUGAACGAGCAAAGGCGAAUCUGAGCCCCACUACAAUGUGCAGAUUGAUGGCUAUUUUAGCUGCAAAAUUUUUAUUCGUAUACCGGAAAUCAUUGCUGUCAACAUCAGUGGCGGAGCUUGAACUGAAAAAUUGAUCCACUGUUACCAUCAUCAUCAAGCUCUCUCUGUUUGCUGCUGCUGCUGAUGAAUCUCUUUGAUUAAGGAACAGAGAUGUUGAUUUCAAAAGAUCAUGAUGGAGCUUUUAGUUAUAUUGUGGAUCUUUGUUGCUUAUAUUCAUUUCGAUUGAAUCGGUCUAUUGUACUCCCUCCGAUCCAUAAUAAGUGUCGCUGAUUUAGGCUUAGUUUUUGCAUUGCUGAACUGUGCUGUGCUUAGGCCUGGUAACGGGGACAAACCCGCACCAGACCCAGAUCGAUCCAUGCGGCAGCCAGCUCGCUCCCCAUACCAAUCCGCCCCACUAAUCUGUUUGUUUAAUCCAAACCAUACCAAACCGCAUGCAGGUAGCCCCCGAACCUCACCAGACUGCACGAAGUUUGCGGGUUGGAAUCCACGUCUCAGACCAUGGGGGCCAACGCUAGGAGAGGCGCUGCCAGCAGAUGUUUCCACUGCCUGCCUGUGCUGCUAUAUUCAGAUACACUGAUACAGUCACAUACAGUUGAAGUGAUACACGUCCAAACCAUUCAGGGUGGACGGGGAGAGACCUGACCAGACCAAUCCAAACCGCAUAUUCACCUAGACCAAACCGAUCCAAUCCAAAUUUUUUUUCUAUCCAUUCGGAUCCGCACCAACGAAACCUGUUUGAAUACCUGCACCGUUACAACCAUCUUGAUCCGCACCAUUACCAGGCCUAGCUGCGCUGAACUUAUUUUAUAAUCUGCUGUUCAGAAAUACACAUAAAAGCAGAAAAAAGUUGGUUAGCCAAACACGUAAAUGCCAAACGCAGCCUUAGUACAACCAUAGUACAACUUUCAGGGGCAAUGAUGAUCAACCAUGGCUGAUAUAGGCAUGCCCUCGAGGCAUCUGUGGGUAUCAAGUUGGUUUCUACCUUCUCUCUUUGAACCUUUUCGGUCAUGUGCUAAUUUUGAUGGAUCUGUCCUUUGGAUGGUCAUUCCUGAUGAGUGAUAACCAGGGCAGAUUCACUAAAGUAAGAACUGGUUGAUUUGGUGAUAAGAUGAUGGGGAUACUGUUAUAUGAACGAGCAAAGGCGAAUCUGAGCCCACUAAAAUGCAUGUGCAGAUUGAUGGCUAUUUUGGCUGCGGAAUUUUUAUUCGUAUACCGAAAAUCUCUCUCUCUCUCUCUGUUGCUGCUGCUGAUCUAUCUCUUUGAUUAAGGAACAGAGAUAUUUGAUUUCGAAAGACCAUGAUGGAGCUUUUAGUUCUAUAGCGGUUUAGUAUAACUUAAGUACAAAGUUAUACUAAAUCAGCUAUUCAUCAUGGAUCAGAGGGAGUACUUUCUUUUAUGAAUCAAUAAAGCCAGGUCAUUGUUCUAAAAAAAAAGGAACAUAAUCCUAUGAUGGGCAAUGAUGUUCGAUCAUGGCUGAUAUAGGCACGCCCUUGAGCAAUCAAGGCACCUUUGGGUAUCAAGUUGGAUCCAUCGUCCUCUCUUGAGCCUUCUCGAUCAUGUGCUAAUUUUGGUGUAUCUGUCCUUGGAUGGUCAUUCUUGAUGGGUGAUAACCAGGGCAGAUUCACUAAAAGUAAGAGCAGGUUGAUCUGGUGACAAGAUGUUGGGGGUAGGGUUAUAUGAUUGAACAAAGGCGAAUCUGAGCCCACUCGAAUGCAAUUAUACUGGUCCCAAGCAAAUUGUGCAAUGUUUGCUAUUAAUAUUUGUAUUUUAGGGCCUCUUUUAUUAACAGGAUUUUCAAAACACAUUGAAGGAAUUAUGCAGGAUUAUAAUGUCAUGUAUUCUUGAUAAGGGCGAUGAUGAUUGACCAUGACUGAAAUAAUCAUGCCUUUGAGCAAUCAAGGCACUGGUGGUAAUCAAGUGAUCUUCCCUUCUCAAGAGCCUUUUUGAUUCCAUGAUACUGGUGGAUCUGUCCUUGGACGGUUAUUCUUGUUGAAUGAUAACAAGGACAACUCCACUCAUGUAAGAACGUGUUGAUCUGGUGAUAAGAGAUGAUAGGGAUUGAGUUAUAUGAUAGAGCAAAGGAAUCAAACUACUUUGUCAAAGUUUCCUAGUGGCACAGAUGCACUGCGUGCAAAAACCAAAAAGAUUGUAUAACCCUGCUGAGGUCUGAUGUUCUAUUAAGUCAUAUAAACAUGCCCGUGAACAGGGUAUGGAGAUUGUAAUAUGAACUCGUUCUCUCUAGAAGCCUGUUUAGGGCAUAUAUUUUUGCUGGUGGUGCUGUAGUCCGUGGUCAAUCUGAUAAUGAUUGCGCCAUGCUUGUAAUACACCUGUUUGGUUGCUACCAAGAGGAGUGCAUAUGAGCAUUAGAGGCAGAUGGUGAGAACAUAAACUAGCACAGCGCCAUUUUUUUUUUUAAUGUUUGACCAGGUAGUACUAAUUCAUGCACAGAUUGGGAUUGUGUAUCUAUACAUCGAAUGUAAAGCUGAACUCAAUGCAACUGAUACAGUACUACCAUACAAGCUAUGAAUAACAUCAUCCCCCGUUUGUUUGAGCUUUGAAGCUAUUUUCCUCUGUGUAUUGUGUUCUCUGUACAGCUUCUUGCUACACUCAGAUGUUAAGGCCUGUUGAUUUCUAUGUGUUUAAUUAUACAAGUAGAGCUGUACCUCUGUAUCAGCACUUAUUUUAUUACUCCUACAAUAUUGUUUUCAAUGGUGAUUCUGGAGUAUUUGCUUGCAGUACAUACGUUGAGUGUUGCAUUAAAAGAUAAUGCACUGUCCAGUAAAUUUUCAGCACUUGAAAAACUUUUUGCCCGAAAGGCUUCCAUUUUUGUCAGAUUAUACGAAGGGACAUAAGGAAUAUUUCGCUACCAUUUUACUUUGUGCCUUAUCAUGGAUGGGCUUAUCUUGCUGGAGCAAGACUGGGAGGUGUUUGUAAUAAUGUGUGUAUGUUAAUAAUUUUUCAUUUCUGUCAUUAUAUAAUGUAAUUUCAUCUAGAUUCUAGAAAUGUAUGCCUUUAGUAUCCGAGAGAAUCGACAGGUAUUCAGUUCUUAAGUGUUCAUUAGGAUACCAUACUAUCUUUUGUUAUCAGUUUAUGUUAUUUUGUUACUAUGGUUUCUGCUUAAGAUGAUUUAGCCUCUCCUGAUUUGGCUCCUUGGCAUUCUGUUUAGUUAGUUAUCAUGCUUGAAGGCUUUGCUUGCAGCAAGUCACUGUUUUCAGCUAUCUGUUUUAGAUGCUACAAUGGAUGAUUCAUCUCAAUUACUCCUGCAGAGUGACAGACUAUAUAUUGCAUGUUGCUGCCAGGACCAUAUCCAUAUUUUAACUGUUGCAGUUGAAGGGUUGUGCUAAUCUGAACCACUGAAAUACCAUUUCUUGUUUGUUUAAUUUGUUCUGAAACUCUCCUCAGAUUUUAUGCUUGCAUUUGUAUAGAUCUCUUUUCUGUAUAAUAAUAAGGCUGUUACCAUUUCAAUUUUGGAUCAUGCACCAGAGGACAGGGUAGUUGUUGCUCUUUUUUUGUGCUUACCUUUUGUUUGCGCUAAUGUAUUGGUCACUUGUUAGAUACAUUGGUACACGUCAUUUUUUUAUUGCUCGCUUCCUGGCAACCUUGUAUCAGUUACGUAACAUGUCAGUAUUUGAAAACCGCAUCUUCUUGAGAUAGUGUUUGUUUCCUAAAUCGGUCAUAUGUGAAAGUUACUUGUGUAGAACAACUAGCCAAUGCGAGUUCCUAACCUGGCAGAGGUGCCACGUGGUAAUGAAAUUUUGUGCGCAAUCAUUAUCGUGGUUGUUUUUCUUAAAUUUGGUCAAAUACAAUUUUCCUUGUUUUAGCAUUUUAAUUAUCUUAUUGUUGGUGCAGUGCAUUUUUUGUUAUUCUGAUUCCGUAAAACAUAAACACUGAAACUUAUCUCGUGCUAUUUAGGAAACAUGUAUACACGGUUGCUAGUUCUUCUGCCUAGCAUGUUUUCAUUACACCAUUGAACAGUACCAAUCUUCCGAAUAUUUGGACAAACUGUACUUCUGGUGUUGGAAAGUUUGUCUUGUAGCCUUGAUUGAGACCAUGAUCUUUGAUGAUCAAUCCUUUGACACACAUUGGAUGAAAUUUUACUGUGCAUUUGGUUCUUGUCGGUGGACUAUUGGGUAUCUGAGUAAAGAAGAAUAAAAACAUAUGUUUGUGCUGGUGGUGCUGUAGUCUGUGGUCUAUCCGAUAAUGAUUGCACCAUGCAUGUAAUACACCUGUUUGGUUGCUACCAAGAGAAGGAGUUUAUAUGCGCAUUAGAGGCAGAUGGUGAGAACAUAAAAUGACACAGCCUGGAAUGUCAUUUUGUUAAACUAGCACUUCAAUGUUUGACCAGGUAGUAUGAAUUGAUGCACAGAUUGGGCUUAUGUAUCUACCCAUCGAAUGUAAAGCUGAACUCAAGUCAACUGAUACAGUACUACCAUACAAGCUAUGAAUAAUAUUAUCCCCCGUUUGUUUGAGCUUUGAAGCUAUUUCUUGUGUUCUCUGUACAGCUACAUGCUACACUCAGAUGUUAAGGCCUGUUGAUUUCUGUGUGUUUAGUUACACCAGUAGAGCUGUACUGUACCUCUGUCUCGGCACUUGUUUUAUUAUUGCUACAGUAUUGUUUUCAAUGGUGAUUCUGGAGUAUUUGCUUGCAUUACAUACGUUGAGUGUUGCUUAAAAGAUAAUGCCAUGUUCAGUAAACUUUCAGCAUUUGAAUAACUUUUUUUGCACGAAAGGCUUUCAUUUUUGUCAGAUUAUAUGAAGGGACAUAAGGAAUAAGUCUCUACCAUUCUACUUUGUGCCUUAUCAUGGAUGGGCUUGUCUUGCUGGAGCAAGAUGAGGUGUUUAUAAUGUAUAUGUCUGUUAGUAAUUGUUCAUUUCUGUCAUUAUAUAAUGUAAUUUCAUCUAGAUUUUAGAAAUGUAUCCUUUAGUGUCCGAGAAAAUCGGCAGGUAUUCAGUUCUUUAGUGUCCAUUAGGAUGGCAUACUAUCUUCAGUUAUCAGUUUAUGUUAUUAGGUUACUUUUGUUAUUAACUGCUAUGAUUUUUCUGCUUAAGAUGAUUUAGCCUCUCCUGAUUUGGCCCCUUGGCAUUAUGUUUAGUUAGUUAUCGUGCUUGAAGGCCUUGCUUGGAGCAAGUCACAGUUUUCAGCUAUCUGUUUUAGAUGCUACAAUGGAUGAUUCAGCUCGAUUAUUCCUGUAGAGUGACAGACUAUAUUGCAUGUUGUUGCCAGGAACCAUAUCCAUAUUUUAACUGUUGCAGUUGAAGGGUUGUGCUAAUCUGAACCACUGAAAUACCAAUUCUUGUUUGUUUAAUUUGUUCUGAAACUCUCCUCAGUUUUUAUGCUUGCAUUUGUAUAGAUCUCUUUUCUGUAUAACAACAAGGCUGUUACCAUUUCAAUUUUGGAUCAUGCACCAGAGGACAGGGUAGUUGUUGCUC